rnacentral:rRNA from 1 species
GACGAACGCUGGCGGCGUGCCUAAUACAUGCAAGUAGAACGCUGACUACUUUAGCUUGCUAGAGUAGAAGGAGUUUCGAACGGGUGAGUAACGCGUAGGUAACCUGCCUACUAGCGGGGGAUAACUAUUGGAAACGAUAGCUAAUACCGCAUAACAGUGUUUAACACAUGUUAGAUGCUUGAAAGAUGCAAUUGCAUCACUAGUAGAUGGACCUGCGUUGUAUUAGCUAGUUGGUGGGGUAACGGCCCACCAAGGCGACGAUGCAUAGCCGACCUGAGAGGGUGAUCGGCCACACUGGGACUGAGACACGGCCCAGACUCCUACGGGAGGCAGCAGUAGGGAAUCUUCGGCAAUGGGGGCAACCCUGACCGAGCAACGCCGCGUGAGUGAAGAAGGUUUUCGGAUCGUAAAGCUCUGUUGUAAGAGAAGAACGUGUGUGAGAGUGGAAAGUUCACACAGUGACGGUAACUUACCAGAAGGGGACGGCUAACUACGUGCCAGCCGCCGCCGUAA